CCUGGCUGUAAACGCUGCAGGCUUGGUGUUGGGUCUCCUUCGGGGGUCCCAGUGCCGGAGCGAAGGUGUUAAGCCUGCUGCUUGGGGAGUACGGCCGCAAGGCUGAAACUUAAAGGAAUUGGCGGGGGAGCACAGCAACGGGAGGAGCGUGCGGUUCAAUUGGAUCAACGCCGGAAAACCACCAGGGGCGACUGUACAUGAAGCCAGGCUGAUGACCUUGCCUGAUUC
rnacentral:rRNA from 1 species